UUCCGGUUGAUCCUGCCGGACCUGACUGCUAUCGGAUUGAUACUAAGCCUUGCGAGUCAUAGUAGCAAUACAAGGCAGACGGCUCAGUAACGCGUAGUCAAUCUACCCUGUGGACGGGAAUAACCUCGGGAAACUGAGAAUAAUGCCCGAUAGAACAUAAUGCCUGGAAUGGUUUAUGUUUGAAAUGAUUUAUCGCCAUAGGAUGGGACUGCGGCCUAUCAGUUUGUUGGUGAGGUAAUGGCCCACCAAGACUAUUACACGUACGGGCUCUGAAGAGGAGUAGCCCGGAGAUGGGUACUGAGACACGGACCCAGGCCCUAUGGGGCGCAGCAGGCGAGAAAACUUUGCAAUGUGCGAAAGCACGACAAGGUUAAUCCGAGUGGUUUCUGCUAAAGAAACCUUUUGUCGGUCCUAGAAACACCGACGAAUAAGGGGUGGGCAAGUUCUCGUGUCAGCCGCCGCGGUAAAACCAGCACCUCAAGUGGUCAGGAUGAUUAUUGGGCCUAAAGCAUCCGUAGCCUGCUUUGUAAGUUUUCGGUUAAAUCCAUAUGCUCAACAUAUGGGCUGCCGGGAAUACUGCAAAGCUAGGGAGUGGGAGAGGUAGACGGUACUUGAUAGGAAGGGGUAAAAUCCUUUGAUCUAUUGAUGACCACCUGUGGCGAAGGCGGUCUACCAGAACACGUCCGACGGUGAGGGAUCAAAGCUGGGGGAGCAAACCGGAUUAGAUACCCGGGUAGUCCCAGCUGUAAACCAUGCAAACUCAGUGAUGCAUUGGCUUGUGGCCAAUGCAGUGUUGCAGGGAAGCCGUUAAGUUUGCCGCCUGGGAAGUACGUACGCAAGUAUGAAACUAUAAGGAAUUGGCGGGGGAGCACCACAAGGGGUGAAGCCUGCGGUUCAAUUGGAGUCAACGC
rnacentral:rRNA from 1 species